AGUAGAUUAAAUGUAAGUUUAUAAACCGCAUUUACAAAAAGUGUAAUUAUACUAUUCAGGAGAGAAUGAAAACUGCCAGAAUAAUGUUAUUAUGUUAACAUGAAAUAAUAUGAGCUUUUUUAAAGGAACACUUUAAGUAUCAUACUUCCUACAGGCCAUUGAUGUAGCCUUUGUAGAGUGCCUUGGUGCCCUACCAAUGUAAGUAAUCAAGAACAGUUUGACCAUUUGCAGAAAAACCUGCCGCCACCUAUACACCCUAGACAUUCCUGCACUGAACAAAGCCAAGUAGUGCAGGGAGGGAUUCAAAGGUUUAGAGCAAUCAGUUUGACACAUUCGGCCAGGGUACCAACCCUUAACUGGAGGGCUUAGCUGACAAUAGCACCUUGCAACAGCUUCACACUCCAGAGGAGGAGGUGGACAGCUGGCAGACACAAGGUAAGUUUCAAACCAUUCUUAAACAGUAUGACUACUUGUACUGGUAUGGUGCCAGGGCACUUCUGGAACCAUAAUUAAUGCAGUGAGCUGUAGUUGUGUUGGUGAUUGGAGAGUUUCUUUAAUUGGUGAAGCAGUAUAUAAAGUCUGUAUGUUAGCACUGAAAAUCUUUUUUUUAUUUACCCUUAAACAUCCUAGAAAGCCUUAUGAACACCCAUCCUACUUAUUCUUCUUUUUAGUUAAUCCUAAGCCAAUAUUUCUCAUUCUAUUAAUGCUACACUUACUUAAAAAAAAUAAAGAAUGCCUCCCAGCAGUCCCAUAAUCAGAUUUGGAGUCCUGUCCUGCCAUCUCAGGUUUGCGCUCUGGUUUGCACUGCACAAAGUUCUUUAGAAGAGCUUUUCACAUUGGCAGUCCUUAGUGAUUGUGGUCAACAUGGCUGUCAGUCAGCCUGGCAUGUUUUCACACCACACUGAUUGGUCCCAUUUCUGGGUGAGACCAUAUAAAAAUAUUGCUUUCAUGUGGAAUGUCACACCCCGCCAUUCCAAUUCCAGUUUUGGAAGGUACAACUAAAUACUGCUAUAUCCAUUCAUUACCUUGCUAUUUACACCUAUAUUUACGAUUACUUUAGCUUAUCUGCUCUUGAUACCGUUCACCCAACCCUUUCAGUAUUUUCAAUUUAUUAAAGCAUUAUAUACAUGCUGUCAUUCAUUGUGUAUGUCACAUUUCCAAUGCAAAUAUCAGCAUCAUUCUCCAAAGGUUCUGCAGAAGUCAUCAUAAUAUGUUUCAUUUGUUCCAUUGCUAUAUGGUGAAUAUCUGGCAAAACAGUGUAGUCUCUCUCUGGAGUAUGCUUUUCUUCUUUGCUCUCAUCUUCAACAAAAUACACUUCUUUUUCCAUUUGCUUUUGCUUGUCACAUCUUUCUUCAAUAAUGUCCUCAUUUGCAAGAAAUUCCAAUUGUACAUGUUGUGUUUCAUUCCCAGAUAUCUUUGUCCACUCCU